rnacentral:rRNA from 1 species
UACGUAGGGUGCAAGCGUUAAUCGGAAUUACUGGGCGUAAAGCGAGCGCAGGCGGUUAUGUAAGACAGAUGUGAAAUCCCAGGGCUUAACCUUGGAACUGCAUUUGUUACUGCAUGGCUAGAGUGCGUCAGAGGGGGGUGGAACUCCACGUGUAGCAGUGAAAUGCGUAGAGAUGUGGAAGAACACCGAUGGCGAAGGCAGCCCCCUGGGAUGACACUGACGCUCAUGCUCGAAAGCGUGGGGAGCAAACAGG